CGCGCCUAACACAUGCAAGUCGAACGAGCGAGAGAGAGCUUGCUUUCUCAAGCGAGUGGCGAACGGGUGAGUAACGCGUGAGGAACCUGCCUCAAAGAGGGGGACAACAGUUGGAAACGACUGCUAAUACCGCAUAAGCCCACGGCUCGGCAUCGAGCAGAGGGAAAAGGAGCAAUCCGCUUUGAGAUGGCCUCGCGUCCGAUUAGCUAGUUGGUGAGGUAACGGCCCACCAAGGCGACGAUCGGUAGCCGGACUGAGAGGUUGAACGGCCACAUUGGGACUGAGACACGGCCCAGACUCCUACGGGAGGCAGCAGUGGGGAAUAUUGCACAAUGGGGGAAACCCUGAUGCAGCGACGCCGCGUGGAGGAAGAAGGUCUUCGGAUUGUAAACUCCUGUUGUUGAGGAAGAUAAUGACGGUACUCAACAAGGAAGUGACGGCUAACUACGUGCCAGCAGCCGCGGUAAAACGUAGGUCACAAGCGUUGUCCGGAAUUACUGGGUGUAAAGGGAGCGCAGGCGGGAAGACAAGUUGGAAGUGAAAUCUAUGGGCUCAACCCAUAAACUGCUUUCAAAACUGUUUUUCUUGAGUAGUGCAGAGGUAGGCGGAAUUCCCGGUGUAGCGGUGGAAUGCGUAGAUAUCGGGAGGAACACCAGUGGCGAAGGCGGCCUACUGGGCACCAACUGACGCUGAGGCUCGAAAGUGUGGGUAGCAAACAGGAUUAGAUACCCUGGUAGUCCACACCGUAAACGAUGAUUACUAGGUGUUGGAGGAUUGACCCCUUCAGUGCCGCAGUUAACACAAUAAGUAAUCCACCUGGGGAGUACGACCGCAGGGUUGAAACUCAAAGGGAUUGACGGGGGCCCGCACAAGCAGUGGAGUAUGUGGUUUAAUUCGACGCAACGCGAAGAACCUUACCAAGUCUUGACAUCCUGCGACGCACAUAGAAAUAUGUGUUUCCUUCGGGACGCAGAGACAGGUGGUGCAUGGUUGUCGUCAGCUCGUGUCGUGAGAUGUUGGGUUAAGUCCCGCAACGAGCGCAACCCUUACUGUCAGUUACUACGCAAGAGGACUCUGGCAGGACUGCCGUUGACAAAACGGAGGAAGGCGGGGAUGACGUCAAAUCAUCAUGCCCUUUAUGACUUGGGCUACACACGUACUACAAUGGCGUUAAACAAAGAGAAGCAAGACCGCGAGGUGGAGCAAAACUCAGAAACAACGUCCCAGUUCGGACUGCAGGCUGCAACUCGCCUGCACGAAGUCGGAAUUGCUAGUAAUCGUGGAUCAGCAUGCCACGGUGAAUACGUUCCCGGGCCUUGCACACACCGCCCGUC
rnacentral:rRNA from 1 species